CAAGACUCCUCUCUUGGUGAGUCAUGUGCCUCCCAAUUCUCUCUGUCACUCACUCAAACUCACACUAAGUGUGCAGUUGCAGAGAAGAGGAAGAUAUUAGCAGAUUACACCCCUUUCUAACACUUUGUAGGAAUGAUAUGACAGACGCCACUUUUGAACAUUACACUAUUUUGUCACUUUAUUUGCAGUGGUCACCAACUGGGCGAUCUUCAAGGCAUUCCUAGUCGAUCAAUCAAACAUUUGUGUAGAAAACCCAACGAUGAAUGCUGUGACUGCCACACUGUCUUCAAUUGGGGAUCCUCUGUCCGGGACGUUGUCCUCAGUAUUAUGGAGCGGUGUGUUUUUACAAGUUGUUUGAAUAUGACAUGUAUUCGGUGUGGCGUACCGCAGACAAGCCACCAGGGGGAGACUCGUCGAGGCGUGGUGACAGAUGGAUCACGUGGCAGUGGCUCCCUCUGCUGGUCGUGCCAGGUCUCGACAGGUCCUACGGAUAGGACUAAUUGGGGCUGCUUUAGGCUGAUCUGUGCCUCGACACAAUCCUGUCUCGGAACUCUACGGACAAUUCCUUCGACC